UUUUGUUCAAUCAUUUAUUUAAUAUAUUAUUUUGUACCAUAAUGUAGGCUUUAGCACCACCCUGUGGUUACACCGUUAUCCUACAGAAAUGUGAUUUGUAAUGUAUAAUUAUCAGGUGAUUCAUUUAGACAUGAAAAAAAAAAAAAA